rnacentral:lncRNA from 1 species
UCAAGGCUCACUUAGGACCUGAUUUUCAGUGAUGAUCGUUAAUGAAUUGAGCCUGCAAUUCUGCAGCAACAAUGAAUCGAGGUGUCGUGAUCACAUGGAGCAUUGGAAGCUGCCCAGAGGGUAGAAAAUGUUGCACUAUGCUAUACUCCGGCAAAGGAUAAAAAUUAUCCAGUAAUUCGAGUUGCAGUCAUCACCAUCCAUCUUCUGGCAUUGCCUCUUAGUAAAGCCUGUACUGCUAUUAAAGAAAAUUGUCAACUGGUUCUGCAGAACACAGAAUACUUGUCUCCACUGUUGCUGACUUCCUUGGGUCAGUAGUUUUGGGUAGCCUUUCCCAGUACCUGGGUGAGUUCUGCCAUCAGCAUGUGACUUUAUGGGAGC